rnacentral:rRNA from 1 species
UACGUAGGAGGCAAGCGUUGUCCGGAAUUACUGGGCGUAAAGCGCGUGUAGGUGGUGGACAGUCUGCUGUGAAAGCGCCUGGCUUAACCGGGCGAGGUCGGCGGAAACUGUCCGACUCGAGGACGGUAGGAGGGGGUGGAAUUCCCGGUGUAGUGGUGAAAUGCGUAGAGAUCGGGAAGGAACACCUGUGGCGAAGGCGGCCCCUGGGCCGGCCCUGACACUGAGACGCGAAGGCGUGGGGAGCGAACGGG